rnacentral:lncRNA from 1 species
AUCAAAACAGAUCUUUCCCUGGGGAUUUAGGUCAGUGGCACCGCACAGCACCUGCUUCUCAAGUGCAAGGUCCUGAGUUCAAUCCCCGGUACCACCCCCCCAAAAAAUCCAGAUCCUAAAAGUCCUGAGACAGAGAUGGGUUGUGAAGAUCUGUGUUCUUAUAUCUUCAUUUGCAUUGGACACAAAGAAUCACAAUGAUCGAGGAGAAAAAGCUCACCUGUGGUUGAAUGAGCCUGAACUAUAGAUCUCCCUUCCUCAAGGUUCCAAGAAGGAAGUUACUUUGUUGCAUCUAUUCUGGAGGCCUCAGGAACCAUGUUUCAUCUCUCGAAGGCCAAAAUUAAACCAGGACAGGGGAUGUUUACUUCUGGGUCCCUCAAAGCUUGAAAGGCAGGAUCUCAUCUGUGACCUCAACCCCAGAAGCUUCAGCUCAUCUUAGGAUUUGAGUACUGCAUAACUUCUAGUUCAUACAUGGACAGAAAGACACAUGGCUGUGUCACUGCCUGAUCUUCUAACGAUAACUUUAUCUGAUAUUUCACAAAAAUAUAUAAAAAUGGCCGCCAAAGAUAAAAGUGCAGCAGAAAGACAAACAGAUAAAUCUGGAAGUGAAAUUCUGGUUGAAAGUGAAUGGAGUUAUAGAAACAACACCUGAGCACAGGAAUGUUGACCCUGCUGCUCUUUUGACACUACUUGAGAAUCCAGUUAGAGGACCAAAGUGAAAGUGAAUGUAUGUCAGUAUUUAGUGGAGAAACAGAUAUAACACAAGAUGUACAAAUAUGUAUGAAUUUACAAGACUGGCUUACAAUGGCCACCCACAGAGCAGGAUGAGGAAAAGUGCAGAGGGGCUGUCUGAACACUGGGGACCAAAGGAUUUAGUCGAAGGUCCAGAGCUCACUGCAGUGUCCAGUGCCAGUCUGUAUCAGGAGUCCGAUGGGUCUGCGGUGGAAGACUGAAGAGUCUAAGCUGGAAGGCUGGAGGAUCUGCGCCAGAAGCGGAAGAGUCUGUGUUGGAAGCCAGGAGAUGACAUCCAAGGUGCAGGCUGGAGCUCCUCGGAAGAAGCAGAAGCAGAUUCAUCUUUUCUCAUUUCCCCUUUAUACCAUUCAUGUGAGGAGCCACCAAAGGGUGGGUCCUCCAUGUGUGGAAUUGUUGAGCCAAUUUAGUUAAACUUCUCUUAACCAAACUUCUCAAGUUGACACAAUCAAUCAACCAUCACAAUAAACUUACUGACAUAAAUGAAGAAAGUGGUUUUGAUAAAAAGCAUGAAGAUACCCCAGAAAAACUGACAUAAGAGUUCUCAUGAAGACACCAAUAACCCUGUAAUGAAUGAGAAAUAUAACACCUGCAUCAUAUAUUCACAGGGCCUACAACUUAAAAAAAUGAAACAGACUUGGCAGUAAUGGAAAUAUAAGAAAUAAUGGAGACUGAAGAUUUGGAAGUUAUGUACAUUAUCAAAUGGGAAAUGCUGGUAUUUCAGUUCCAACUAUGUAUUCCCAGUUUGUGAGAUAGGAUUCCUGUAGGAACAUGAUGUGCGCAGACUCAGGUGUGGAAGACUGCAUGGUGGAGUUCCAAAGGAUCUAGCUGCAAGGAGAAGGCCUGGAGCUCACCACAGUGUCCUGUGAGAAUCUGCAUCAGGAGGCUGGAGGGCCUGCACUGCAAGACUGAAGUAUCUAUGCUGGAAGCCAGGAGAUGGACAUCCCAGGUGAAGGCGAACCCUGGAGCUCCUCUGAAGAAACAAAAUAAUCUUGCAGUAUAUAAAGAUGAAGGAUAUCACCCAUGUCCGUAAGAUGUUUAGAAGAUAGAGGUGAGAUGGAUCUACAAUGACUAAGCCAGAAAAGAUUUCUACUUUAAAGGCCUCAUGUUACUACACGAGAUCCACCAAAAUAAUCCAGGACAAUCUCUCAUUCUCCAUGUCCUUAGUGUAAUCAUUUUUAUAGAGUCAUUUUUACGAUAUAAGAUCAAACAUUCACUCAUUUUUGGGAUUAUAAUGUGGUCAUCUGGCGAAGUUUUAGUCUGUCUGCCAAAACUAUAUUGUCUAACAUACUGAC